rnacentral:rRNA from 1 species
GACGAACGCUGGCGGCGUGCUUAACACAUGCAAGUCGAACGGAAAGGCCCUGCUUUUGUGGGGUGCUCGAGUGGCGAACGGGUGAGUAACACGGGAGUAACCUGCCCUUGACUUUGGGAUAACUUCAGGAAACUGGGGCUAAUACCGGAUAGGAGCUCCUGCUGCAUGGUGGGGGUUGGAAAGUUUCGGCGGUUGGGGAUGGACUCGCGGCUUAUCAGCUUGUUGGUGGGGUAGUGGCUUACCAAGGCUUUGACGGGUAGCCGGCCUGAGAGGGUGACCGGCCACAUUGGGACUGAGAUACGGCCCAGACUCCUACGGGAGGCAGCAGUGGGGAAUAUUGCACAAUGGGCGGAAGCCUGAUGCAGCAACGCCGCGUGCGGGAUGACGGCCUUCGUGUUGUAAACCGCUUUCGCCUGUGACGAAGCGUGAGUGACGGUAAUGGGUAAAGAAGCACCGGCUAACUACGUG